AUUUGCUUAUACUACUAACGAUAUUUUCAGGGUUAAAUUAUGCGCUUGCUUUGAGCGACAUCACAAACCCAAUUCUCUUAUUAAAUAUAUUUUCUAAUCAAAAAGCCCUAGCCUAUUUCCAUCAAUCUCUGUUCGAUCUCUACCGCAACCUUCUUUCUCUUCCUCUCCAUUUUGGAUCUAACCUAACAAAUAACAUCGCAGAACUUGGUGGCCACUGUGUUGGUCUAAAUCCAGGGAUUAUUCUUUUUGGGUAUUUCAAUUUGGCUUUCUCUUCAGUCGUUCCUCUUCCUCUCUCUUUGAAUACGAUUCAACUCAGAUGCGUCCAAUUUAAUGGCUGGGUCAUUCGUGCGAGAUUCGUUAUGUCCGAGCAGAAUUCAUGAGGAAUUUCGAUUGAACUCGGAUGCGUUCUCAUCUCUGUUCUAGGAAAGUUCGCAUCUUGGUCAGUUCUCAAUCUCUUUUGGCUUGGUUUCUGUUUUGGGCUUCUUGUUAUUACUGGUGUUCAAUUUUAUGUUUGAGCUUUUCAGUUAUGAUCUACUAGAAAUUAUCUGUAAUUUAAUUCAUUGUGGACUGAAAGCUUUAGUCAUUGCUUGUGUGAGAUUUGCUUUCUUGCAUUUUUCUGUUAAUGCAAAGUGAAUUUUGUUAAUGCAAAUUAUCUGUGAUUCCGUACGGUUUGCCUUUUUGUUUUUGAUGAAAGAUGGUGUUUGUGAAGAGCUUGAUCAGUGAUAUAAUUUAGUGUCAUACUUAUGCAAAGUACAUACCCGAGAUACUAUGUUUUUGGCAAUUGUAAACACAAAUGCUAUAAUGUGUGCUAUAAUUAUGAAAGAGUUAUAUAUUGGCUUGAUGUGUUAUUCUUGAACUAGUUUCUCAUUGAAUUUUGUUCCAGGGGUUGGCCUUCAUGCUUCACUAUUGGUAAGUGAAUAGCAACAUUUAGACUUGGAGAAGUGUAACUGGGCUAAUGGUGAUUUUUGGGUACUACUUGCAACUUCUCUAGCAAUCUCAAGCCUCUUUAUUGUGAAAUUAAAGUUAUAUGUUUUAAUCUAUUGCUACUAGAACUCUAUUAAUUUCUUCGAUUGCAGCUGGUAUAUGUUUUAGCUAACUUUUGUUGUCUCAGUAUGGAUAACAUUUUGAAAUGUCACUACAAAAAAGAAUUGCAACCGCCACAGCAGCUUGCAUCUGCACGUCUGUUACUGCUCUUACUGUUUGAUCUAGAAUAUGUUUUUUGCUAUCAGUUGUAUGCUUGACCUGUACUGUCUAGUUUCUCAUAAGUUUUCAGAAAAAUAAGAAAGCACAGAUAAAGCUCCUCUUGAUCCCAGCACUACUUUAGGUGGUUUCUGUGGAAAAAACUAUUCCGAGGCAUCAGCAUUUAUAAUAACUUAUCCUGUAAACAAUGCUAUUAAUAAAGAAGGGAAUGAAAUUGAAAGAGUAGUGGCAUGGGAGAAGGCCUUCAUUGAGCUGGCAAAGGUUUACCUCUCUGUAAUUCAGUUAUAGUUUAGCUUUGUGUAAUUUUUUUUUCCUGGUUGUUCAGUAUGAAAAUAGAUAAUUUAUUGUUUUGAAGUCUAAGAUUUGUAUUGCAUUUGUGAUAGGAUGAGCUAUUGCAAAUGGUGCAAUCUAAAAACUUAACACUAUCUUUCUCAUCGGAGAGUUCCAUUGAAGAAGAACUUAAGAGUGAAAGCACUGCAGAUGCUAUUACAAUAUUGAUGAGUGGUUUCUCUGUUUCAUGUUGGGUUGCUUUUUCCUUUUAGACCAAAAGAUCUGAAAUUCUGUAAUUCAUGAAUACUGUUCUUGAUGUAAUAUCGUAGUCAGUUACUUGGUCAGUUACAUGGUCAGCUACAUGUAACUGACCAAGUAACUGUAACUGGUCAAGUAACUGACCAUGUAACUGACCAAGUAACUGUAACUGGUCAAGUAACUGACCAAGUAACUAACCAAGUAACUGAUCAAGUAGCUGUAGCUCACCCUAAUCCUGAAUACUUGCAAAAGAAUACCAAAAUUUCAACAAUCAAAUCAGAACACCAGCAUACGUGUGCUUUUAUCUGCCUCUUACAUUUAAUGUUUACUGUUUUUGAAUAAUUCUAGGUCCGUGAAGGUGCAUUUGGUUCUAUUGGUGAUGAUCAGUCACUUCUUAAAUACUUGGAAUCUCUGGGACAACAUCAGUAACAAGCAUGUCCGUAGUUGGUCAUCAAAGAGAGGUAGGGCUUUAAAGCAUCAAUUCAAGCUUGGUGAGCAGCUUGGUAAGCUCAUGUUUCUUCCCAGUCAGGCUUGGUGAGUAGCUUCUGUUUUAAUCUUGAAGUCGAGGAAGAUUAAAACAAAAGUGUCUGUUUCCUUGUGCUUAAUCAUCUUGUAAACUUUCGUAGAAACUUCAUUCCUUUUGUAACAUUCAUGAGAAAAAUUAAAAUUAUC